rnacentral:rRNA from 1 species
UAGGGAAUCUUCCACAAUGGACGCAAGUCUGAUGGAGCAACGCCGCGUGAGUGAAGAAGGUCUUCGGAUCGUAAAGCUCUGUUGUUGGUGAAGAAGGAUAGAGGCAGUAACUGGUCUUUAUUUGACGGUAAUCAACCAGAAAGUCACGGCUAACUACGUGCCAGCAGCCGCGGUAAUACGUAGGUGGCAAGCGUUGUCCGGAUUUAUUGGGCGUAAAGCGAGCGCAGGCGGAAUGAUAAGUCUGAUGUGAAAGCCCACGGCUCAACCGUGGAACUGCAUCGGAAACUGUCAUUCUUGAGUGCAGAAGAGGAGAGUGGAACUCCAUGUGUAGCGGUGGAAUGCGUAGAUAUAUGGAAGAACACCAGUGGCGAAGGCGGCUCUCUGGUCUGCAACUGACGCUGAGGCUCGAAAGCAUGGGUAGCGAACAGGAUUAGAUACCCUGGUAGUCCAUGCCGUAAA